rnacentral:lncRNA from 1 species
ACACACAGUCGCUCACCCGCGCCGGGCGCCCGCCCGCCGGCCGCUCGGGCUACGCGCAGCGCGCGGGCUGAGCCGACAUAGAGGAAGCCGGCGAGGGCGGAGGCGGCGGCGGCGGCGGAGGAGGAGGAGGUCGCGGCUGCAGGCGCCGCUGGAGCUGCCGCCGGAGCUGCUGCGGCGAGCGCCGCUGGAGGAGCCGGGACCCGGGCCGGAGUCCGAGCAGGAGUCGGGGCCGCAGCCGGAGCGCGAGCGGAGGCCGGGGCCGCCCGCGGCGCCGCCGCUGUCCCGGCGGGAGCCCUCGCCGGGCUCGGGAGUGCGGGGAGCGCGCAGGUAGAUGAAACUCAAGAGAAAAGGUGUGGAUAAAUGAAACUAGCCCAUGAUGAACCUGUUUUCUCCGUGACCACAAUAUUAACCAGGAUGAAUGGCGGUGGCAGUGGGCCUGCAUCACAGGUUGCAGCAGAUGUUCUCAAUAUUUCUAUUAAAAUUUCCUUAUUUCCAUAUGCAAGAGGAGCCCCAGAGCUGCAUCCUUAUGGUAGCUACCAUGCCGUGAUGUAAGCUGCCAUUCACUGGGGAGCUUUGGCAAUAGAAUUGGCUAGAUCAGGAAGCCUAUGUCAACUAUGGAACAACAACUUGCAGCUCAUCUCUAUUGAUGGUGAAACAGUCGCAAAUGGAAUUCCAAGAAACAUUCUAUAUACACUGCCUCUAGGACUGGGACAGAUAGCCACUGAGUACCUGCUUCAAAUCACCCUGCACGUUUUCUCUUUGGAAAGAUAAGCACUGGAGAACCAUCUCGUUACCUUCAGCAGAAAUGGAAACAAAUCAAGACAUUAAGAAUGCCGCAGUGGACAGCAGUUAUGCAAGGUUCAGCAGAGGAAGUUUUCAAGAUGGUGUGCCUCACUAGCCAGAAAUCAGAAAAGAUCGAAGCUAGCCUUUUCAUCUCAGCUGCUCCUUAAAUCAGUGCAACCCCUCCAAAUUAAUGUGAAUUGAAACUUGCAUUGCUUUUCAACUUAAUUGAAUACUUACUAUAUGUGAACCACUGCACAAAAUAGGGGAAGAAGAUGUGGGAGACAAAGAUGUGGAGCCUGUCUUCAAUAAAUUUACAGUUAGUUUCAGGGUACAUUGUUUUUCUUCUGCUGUUAAUUAGGUGUAUCCCCAAGACAAUAAAUACAUGAAUGGAAAAGUAUAUUCUGUGUUUUAAGUCUCUUUAAUAAAAAACAAAACAAAAUCCAAAAAAACUCCUAACAUGGCAACUCAGGACAUUUUAAUCCUUUUUUUUGUUGUUGGGCUUCUGAUAGGAUCCAUUUUAUUGAUUCCAUAAAUAUUUAGUAGACUUUAGACAUAUUAAUACAUUGUAGUUUGAGUUAAUUUGCAUUAAAUUCUGUUUUUUUCCCCUUAGGUAUAGAUUGUCUGUUGGAAAAAUAUAUUGCUUGUGGAUUUCUUGGGGAGUGGGAAGGUGAAUUAUACCUGUUGUCUCUACAGUCCACUACCUUCCACACCCUAGGGCAGUGGUCCCCAACCUUCUUGGCACCAGGGAUCAGUUUCCUGGAAGACAAUUUUUCUGUGGAUGGUGUGGGGAUGGUUUUGGGAUGGAACUGUUCCACCUCAGAUCAUCAGGCAUUAGUUAGGCUCUCAUAACGAGUGCGCAGCCUAGAUCCCUCACAUGCACAGUUCACAGUAGGGUUUGCGCUGCUAUGAGAAUCUAAGGCUGCCACUGAUCUGACAGGAGGCAGAACUCAGGUGGCAAUGCUUACUGGCCCACUGCUCACCUCUUGCUGUGCGGCCUGGUUCCUAAUAGGCCAUGGACCCCCACAGACGGGUACUAGUCUGCAGCCUGUGGACCCCAGCCCUAGGGGCCUGCCAUUCUGAGUGAGUUAUUAGCAUGAAGAAGAGGAAGAUCUGGAUCAAACGUGGGUGAUGGUACUCAGAGACCCAAGAUAGGAUAGGGAUGGAACAAAAUCCAUCUGGGCAACGGCUCUAUGAAAAUUUGGCUAAGUAAUUAUUUCAGUAUUCAUUGUAUUCAUUGUCCUUCGUGUUCCAUAAGUUAAAUGACUGUCUAAUUUUUCCAAAAAUUUAUUUCUGACUUGAGAAUAAGUGUGUCAUGAUUUUCCCAGUGUAAAGACACUGAUAUAACUGUAGAUACCAGACAUUUUAUGUAGUGUCUAUGACACAUUUUAGUAUGUAUGAGCCAACAAUAGACAUGUCUUUGUCUUGAGGAGUGUCCAUCUGAAUUGAAAAUGUGUCAGCUUUUUUUUAACAUCAUCAACAGACUUCUUAAUUAAGCUGCCAAUACAUACUGCCAAUAGCACUGUGUGCUGUCUGAGAAAUGCAUUGUGUAAGUGCUAUUUCCAUCUUAUUAAAUAAACAAUGUUGCUCUGUAUAAACUGGAUUUAAAGUGUUCUUUGAAUGAGGCAUUAUAUUGCUCCAUAAAUAAUGUGAUGUGAAUUCUCAUAUGAUCCCUUUUAACUUAAUUUCUAAAAAAAUAUUAUUUGCUCCUCAGUAAGGAAUAGCUCUAAUUGGACUGGUAACUUUAGUGAUAUGAUUUGUCUGUAACAGGCUGAAUCGCCCCACUCCCAAACUCCUGGUCGUGAUACUGGAUAUUUGUUAUGCCACUUUUAGUUUGCAUGAGGUAUCUUCCAGGAAGUAUUAGUUAUUAACUUGUGUUCUACUAAACUGUAGAUAUUUAUUUCCUGUUCUGGAAGAUUUCUUGGAGUGUCCAUCUGUGCAUUCCUGGUGCCUAGUGUAGUCUUGCUAAUGGAAUAGCACCUUUAUUGGUGCUACUUAGGGGUUGGUAGCUUACAAUCAAUCUACUUGGAACGUAUCCAAAUAAACUGGAUAUUUUUAUACAGUC